GCGUUAAUAGUGCAACGAAUAGAGCACGCGCUCUCGUAAAGAGUGAGGGGCGGGUUCUAGCCCCGCUUGACGCG